GGGUGAUCUGGCUGUGAUGUGGGUUCAUUUGGCUGAUCCAGCUGGCUAGCUGAGUGUCUCCUUUCUCCUUUCCUCAUGUGCCUGGGCUGAAGCUGAACACUUGGUUAAAGGAGACUACUCUCCCUGGACAGAGGAAGACCCAGACUCCCAUCAUGGGUAUAUAAGUGGCUGUGCUCCCUGUGAGGACAACCAGACAAGCUCUCAAGGCUAAGAUAUGCCAUUGGCCUAAACUUCUUUCCUACCCUGACCUCUCCACUGACAUUAUGUCUGCCUGC
rfam:Rattus norvegicus chromosome 17, whole genome shotgun sequence.